rnacentral:rRNA from 1 species
CGCGGCCUAUCAGCUUGUUGGUGGGGUGAUGGCUUACCAAGGCAACGACGGGUAGCCGGCCUGAGAGGGCGACCGGCCACACUGGGACUGAGACACGGCCCAGACUCCUACGGGAGGCAGCAGUGGGGAAUAUUGCACAAUGGGCGGAAGCCUGAUGCAGCGACGCCGCGUGAGGGAUGACGGCCUUCGGGUUGUAAACCUCUUUCAGCAGGGACGAAGCGUAAGUGACGGUACCUGCAGAAGAAGCGCCGGCCAACUACGUGCCAGCAGCCGCGGUAAGACGUAGGGCGCGAGCGUUGUCCGGAUUUAUUGGGCGUAAAGAGCUCGUAGGCGGCUUGUCGCGUCGACCGUGAAAACUUGGGGCUCAACCCCAAGCCUGCGGUCGAUACGGGCAGGCUAGAGUUCGGUAGGGGAGACUGGAAUUCCUGGUGUAGCGGUGAAAUGCGCAGAUAUCAGGAGGAACACCGGUGGCGAAGGCGGGUCUCUGGGCCGAUACUGACGCUGAGGAGCGAAAGCGUGGGGAGCGAACAGGAUUAGAUACCCUGGUAGUCCACGCUGUAAACGUUGGGCGCUAGGUGUGGGGGGCCUCUCCGGUUCCCUGUGCCGCAGCUAACGCAUUAAGCGCCCCGCCUGGGGAGUACGG